GUUAAUUUACGAUAGAGCGAGAUUUAGCCUUAGCAAUCUAAACGAAAGUUGUAGAAUAUGUUAAACUAAGCGCUUCGAUAAAAAGAACGCCCAAAUCUGACUUCGUAUGAGGAAGUUAUGAUUUUUCUAAAAUUCGGCUUAGCAAUGUACAGCCCGAAACUCGAAUUUUAGAUCGAGCGGUUUUUGGCUUACGCGACCUAAAUGAGAGUUGAAGAUCUCAUUAAUAGGAACUCAACGGUAAAAAGAUGGACGAAAACGGAGUUCGUAUGAAGGAGUUACGAAUUCUUCGCGGUCAUUUAACAGUCUAAACGCCUCCUACUGUUAAAUUUGAGAUCGGUCGAGAAUUAGCCGACGGAGUCUAAACAAAAGUUGUAGAUCUUGAUUUUACCUACGCGUGGAUAUAAAGAACGUCGAAAACGGAGCUCGUAUGCGANCGGUCGAGAAUUAGCCGACGGAGUCUAAAUAAAAGUUGUAGAUCUUGAUUUUACCUACGCGUGGAUAUAAAGAACGUCAAAAACGGAGCUCGUAUGCGAGAGUUAUGAUUUUUCUAAGUCGGGAGGCUGUUGUGCGAAAUCGGGUGACGUGACGCAAUCCUGGCCGUUGCUUCCUCCCCAAGGCUAGCCACCAGAUGUUGACACCUGGCCUGGAACUCGACGAGUUUUUGGCUUUUCCAGCCUAUAAAAAGGGUGCCGGGGCAUCCUCAUUUCUCACACCUUCCAACUUCUCUUUCUCUCUCUAGAAUCUCUCUCUAAGCCUCC
rnacentral:lncRNA from 1 species